UCCUCCCGUUUCCAUUUUAGCAGCAUUUGUUGCAAUUUAAGGAUAACAAUGAUUAACCAUUUAAUCUAUUUAAUUUAUUUAAAAAUUAAAUUAAAUUAUUUAUUUAAUAUAAUGAUCAGAUCCGAAUCCAGAUCUCUGGUAUGAUUCAUAAAUGAAUCAAAUUCAGUUUAAUAAAUUUUUAAUCUAUCCUAUGUCAAAUUUGAUCUGUAUCUUAUCCGAUCUAACCCCAUUGCAAUCCAGACCUCACAUCUCCCAAAACAACCAUAUUCCCCAUGUAGUAUUGGAUGUAUGCUUGAGCAAAGUAUCUUUCAUAAAUAAUUGAUUCUAUAAAUGGAUCGGAUUGAUCCAUGAUCCGAACCGUUUUGAAGAUCCAUAGAUUCGAAUUGGAUUCUAAAAUUGAACCGAUUUCAUUUUUCAGAUUGGAUCUGUAUUUACUGAAUUUUGAUCCAAUCCGAUCUGAUCCAUAGGGACUUUUGGAUUGAUUUGAGUCUUAAGAUAAAUAAUCCAAUCCAACUCGAUCCGAUCCGACCCGAAUCCAGUCCUUAUCUCUUUGUUUCCAUAUUUCAUGAAUGUUAAUUUUAAUCGAGCCUACUUGAAUAUCUGUUGUUCUUGAAAAGACAUUCUAUUGAUUUUUAGAUCUUUAUCUUUAAUUUUAUUAAAAUAUUUUGAAUUUGGAUUAACCAAAUCAGGAACAAUGAUAAGAAAAAUGU
rnacentral:lncRNA from 1 species